rnacentral:rRNA from 1 species
AUUGAACGCUGGCGGCAGGCCUAACACAUGCAAGUCGAGCGGAUGAAGGGAGCUUGCUCCUGGAUUCAGCGGCGGACGGGUGAGUAAUGCCUAGGAAUCUGCCUGGUAGUGGGGGAUAACGUCCGGAAACGGGCGCUAAUACCGCAUACGUCCUGAGGGAGAAAGUGGGGGAUCUUCGGACCUCACGCUAUCAGAUGAGCCUAGGUCGGAUUAGCUAGUUGGUGGGGUAAAGGCCUACCAAGGCGACGAUCCGUAACUGGUCUGAGAGGAUGAUCAGUCACACUGGAACUGAGACACGGUCCAGACUCCUACGGGAGGCAGCAGUGGGGAAUAUUGGACAAUGGGCGAAAGCCUGAUCCAGCCAUGCCGCGUGUGUGAAGAAGGUCGUCGGAUUGUAAAGCACUUUAAGUUGGGAGGAAGGGCAGUAAGUUAAUACCUUGCUGUUUUGACGUUACCAACAGAAUAAGCACCGGCUAACUUCGU